rnacentral:rRNA from 1 species
AGAGUUUGAUCCUGGCUCAGGAUCAACGCUGGCGGCGUGCCUAACGCAUGCAAGUCGAGCGGGCGCACCUUUCGGGGUGUGUCAGCGGCGGACGGGUGAGGAACGCGUGACUAACCUGCCCUGAUGUGGGGGACAACCCCGGGAAACCGGGGCUGAUACCGCAUAUGUUCGGUCGCUCGUGGGGCGAUUGAGCAAAGCCGCAAGGCGCUUCAGGAGGGGGUUGCGUCCGAUUAGCUAGUUGGCGGGGUGACGGCCCACCAAGGCGACGAUCGGUAGCUGGUCUGAGAGGAUGAUCAGCCACAGGGGAACUGAGACACGGUCCCCACACCUACGGGUGGCAGCAGCGAGGGAUUUUCGGCAAUGGGCGCAAGCCUGACCGAGCAACGCCGCGUGCGGGACGACGCCCUUCGGGGUGUAAACCGCUUUUCCCGGGGACGAGGAUGACGGUACCCGGGGAAUAAGCCUCGGCUAACUACGUGCCAGCCGCCGCGGUAAUAC